rnacentral:misc_RNA from 1 species
AAGUCGUAACAAGGUUUCCGUAGGUGAACCUGCGGAAGGAUCAUUAAUACGUUUCUAAACGAACGUUUUAAACUCCAAAAUUUUAAUAGUGGAAAUAUAACUUCCGGAUGCAUAUGUAGGGAGGGGAAGAUUAGACCUUAAAAAAGUCUGGUUUUCUCCUUUUUGAAAAGGAAACUUCAUGCACUUUAUUGUGUGUGACACUUCAGAGUAGAGCAGUGAGGUGAAAACUUCGGUUUUGGUUUCUGAAAUACAUCUGUAUCCGGUUAUUCUCUGUUCUACAACCCUUUUAUUAAACAAUAAACCCCAUGUACAACAACUUGAACUAAACAAAUUUUGUUUUCUCUCUUUGAGGAAAUGAAGUAAAUCUGAACUUAAGAACAACUCUUAACAACGGAUAUCUUGGUUCUC